rnacentral:rRNA from 1 species
UACGAAGGGUGCAAGCGUUAAUCGGAAUUACUGGGCGUAAAGCGUGCGUAGGCGGUUUGUUAAGUCUGUUGUGAAAGCCCCGGGCUCAACCUGGGAAUGGCAAUGGAUACUGGCAGGCUAGAGUGUGUCAGAGGAUGGUGGAAUUCCCGGUGUAGCGGUGAAAUGCGUAGAGAUCGGGAGGAACAUCAGUGGCGAAGGCGGCCAUCUGGGACAACACUGACGCUGAGGCACGAAAGCGUGGGGAGCAAACAGG